GGAAAGCUGCCACCGGGUAGCAGAGAUGCAAGAGCAUCCGUUUACACAUCAGUAGGUCUUAGAAGAUGUGUAUACGGAUGCUUAUUUUUU
rnacentral:ncRNA from 1 species